rnacentral:ncRNA from 2 species
AGAGUUAAAUAGUACGUGAAAUUGUUGAAAGGGAAACGAUUGAAGUCAGUCAUGCUAGUGAAAAAUCAGUUUGACGGGUUUUGAGUUCGGGAGUAGAGGCAGGGUCAAACCGUUUCUCUUUUGGACUUGGGAUUUGUUAGAUGUACUUUUUCUUUGGCAGGUCAGCGUCGAUUUCGGAGGUUGUAAAAUACUUGGGGAAAAGUAGCUCUGCUUCGGGAGAGUAUUAUAGAUCCUGGGGGAUGCAGCCUGCGGGAUCGAGGAUUGCAGCAAAUGAAAAGUACGGCCCAUAGCCGUUUUGGCUUGUCGCCUGAUCUCUGGAUGUUACCUUGCUUGUGACAACAUUCUUGCCACCGGUGAGUACUAAUGCCCACUAGGUUAGAGCGAUCAAAAAUUUUGCUAAGGAUGCUGACGUAAUGGCUUUAAACGACC